rnacentral:tRNA from 1 species
GGGGAGGUAGCAUAAAAAGUGUGAUUUGCUUACAACAAAUAGGUGAUUAUUUUGUCCCUUCCUU